AUUUUAUUUAUUACGUUUAUAUAUGAAUUAGACCACAUAGAGUAUCAUAUCAAACCAGAUAUGAUCGAUAAGCGCGCAAUGCGUAAGAAACGAUGAUUCGCAACGAAGUCCUUCAAUGUGCACACUUCCGCCAGACGGGCUGUCGAUAAUUGGAAGUCGUUCCACUUCUUUGCCUUUGCCAACUCUCAUCUUGGAAUGCGACCGGUUACAGUGUGCAUGCCGACACGUUUCAUCGAGGUCUGCACGGCCAACCGUGUCGUAACACAGCAGGAAACGAAAAUAAGACAAGGAAAAAUAUCGGGGAAACUGAUAUCGAUUCGAUUCAAGAAUCCCAAUCCGAAAGCGUCUAGAUAUUACACCCAAAGGAAGCAAGAGGAUAGAAAAGGAAAAGGAAUAAUACUAAAAAAAGCUAACUGGAUCGGGCUCGAAAAAUCUCAGAUUGAGAAAUUCACGAAUAUCACUUUAUUUAUAAAAUUGCUAAAAUUGUAACUUUAAAGAAAAUUCCGCGUAAAAAACUAAUCAAAAAACAAAUGAAAAAAAAAUAAAAGAAACAAAAAAAAUUGCUUAUAUAAUAAAAUAAAAAAGAAUUAAAGAAAAAUA